ACCUGUCCACCAGAUGUCCUCGGACCUUCCUCUUCCUGGUCACCUGACUUCCACAUCCUGCUGCUCAGCUGUGUCUCAUUUCCUAAACCCUUUUCCUUGGUCAGAUGCUAUGUUGGAACCUGUACCUGCCUCUCAACCACCAGCAGUUAACAGAUGAUGCAUCCCAGAGACAGAAGGGAGAGAGCACGUAGUGGUGUACAGCAAAGCCUCUGGUGACUGAUACCAACCCCUUAUGCCACCCAGUUCUUCUGAUUUUGAGAUUUUUCAGCGCAUGUGAAUCAGCUGAUGAUGAGCCAGACCUUCUCAAUCAAGAUGCAAA